CUUUCUUCGCUGGCGACCGGCGCACGGGUGAGUAACACGUAUCCAACCUGCCCUUUACUCGGGGAUAGCCUUUCGAAAGAAAGAUUAAUACCCGAUAGCAUAAUGAUUCCGCAUGGUUUCAUUAUUAAAGGAUUCCGGUAAAGGAUGGGGAUGCGUUCCAUUAGGUUGUUGGUGAGGUAACGGCCCACCAAGCCUUCGAUGGAUAGGGGUUCUGAGAGGAAGGUCCCCCACAUUGGAACUGAGACACGGUCCAA
rnacentral:rRNA from 1 species